ACAAACAAAAAUGGCUUGGCAAACCAUUUGGCAAAAAGGCAAACCAUCUCAUGGUCGAGAUGUAACUGUGUCCAAACCCCGGUGCCCGUGACCAGGUCGCGCGGAUGGGGUGCGGAGAGACAACGCUAUCUCUUUCGGUCGGGUCCUCGUUGGCAGAGGCGCACCGAGAGAGCCUUGGGCCGUCGCAGCCGAACAAGCUGCGUCGCCUUAAAUUCAGACGAGCUCGACCGCGACCCGGGCUUUGACGGGGAAGGUCGCAUAACACCGCUCGGCAUCGUCGGUCAUUGUUCCGAUGUUGUAAGCGCCCGAGUAUGUACUUCUCACGUAUACGAAAUCCUUAUUUUGACGAGGAAGGGGUCGGGAGCAGGCAAAGUCUCUCGGCUUUUCUUUCCUCGGUCGCGUCAGGCGUACCUCGUUGCGCGCCUCGACCGGCCGAAUCACUUUUUGGCAUCUAUUGA
rnacentral:misc_RNA from 1 species